CCCUCGAGAAGGAGCCAGCGCCCAGGAGGCAGAGGGAGGCACACUGCGGGUUGGGGGUGGGGUGGGGGAGAAGACGUGGGGGAGUCUUGGACCCCUGCCCUGCAGCGCUUCAGUCUCCGUUCUGGACCUCGAUUUCCUAGUCUGUAAAGUGGGGCCAUUGAUUUGUUGUCUGGAAGCCAUGGAGAGCACAGGCUUCAGAAUCAGACCUGGGUUCGAGUCUUACUGUGUGACAAGGACAUCACUGAAGCUCUGAGGCUCCGUUUCCUCGUCUAUAAAACGGAAAUAGUCCUCUCUACUUCACCAGGCAGCUCUGAUAAGGCACCGGCUGGAACUACUCAAGGGCCACAACGACUGUUGUUCAAGACUGACUCCAAAUCCCACCUGUUUGGGGCAAAAUGUCCUUCCCUGGGCCUCAGUCUCCUCCUCCGGUAAAGGGACACCGUGGUAGCCCUGACCUCAUACAGAUAUGCUGGGAUUCCAAGAGUGAGUAAAGCGCUAGCUCGGCACACGGUAGGUGUUUCCUCUGUGACGAGGCGAGAGAGGCUUCCACCCUCCCAAGCCCCACUCCGGAAGUACCUCGGGAAGCACGCAUUCCUCCAUUUUGCAGGCCACGAAGAGGCAGGCCACGCCCAGCAGCUGCAGGCGCUGGAGGCGCACUCUGCCGGCGCGCAGGCUGCUGGCACAAGGGCAGGGAUUUCUCUCUGGAUCACAGCUGUAUCUCAGUUCCUAAAAGAGUCCCUGGCUGGGGAGAGACAACUCACAAGAUGCUUCUUGAAUAAAUUCAUCCCUGCGGUGUUUCUCCCGA